rnacentral:rRNA from 1 species
UACGAAGGGGGCUAGCGUUGCUCGGAAUCACUGGGCGUAAAGCGCACGUAGGCGGAUUGUUAAGUCAGGGGUGAAAUCCUGGAGCUCAACUCCAGAACUGCCUUUGAUACUGGCGAUCUUGAGUCCGGGAGAGGUGAGUGGAACUGCGAGUGUAGAGGUGAAAUUCGUAGAUAUUCGCAAGAACACCAGUGGCGAAGGCGGACUCACUGGCCCGGUACUGGACGCUG